rnacentral:rRNA from 1 species
AGUGGGGAAUAUUGGACAAUGGGCGAAAGCCUGAUCCAGCAAUGCCGCGUGAGUGAUGAAGGCCUUAGGGUUGUAAAGCUCUUUUACCCGGGAUGAUAAUGACAGUACCGGGAGAAUAAGCCCCGGCUAACUCCGUGCCAGCAGCCGCGGUAAUACGGAGGGGGCUAGCGUUGUUCGGAAUCACUGGGCGUAAAGCGCACGUAGGCGGCGAUCUAAGUCAGAGGUGAAAGCCCGGGGCUCAACCCCGGAAUUGCCUUUGAGACUGGAUUGCUUGAACGUCGGAGAGGUGGGUGGAAUUCCGAGUGUAGAGGUGAAAUUCGUAGAUAUUCGGAAGAACACCAGUGGCGAAGGCGGCCCACUGGACGACUGUUGACGCUGAGGUGCGAAAGCGUGGGGAGCAAA